GGGGAUGUAGCUCAAAUGGUAGAGCGCUCGCUUUGCAUGCGAGAGUUUCGAUCUUCGAUACCCCGCAUCUCAA
rnacentral:tRNA from 1 species